GACCUCAAAUCAGACAAGAAUACCCGCUGAACUUAAGCAUAUCAAUAAGCGGAGGAAAAGAAACUAACAAGGAUUCCCCUAGUAACGGCGAGUGAAGAGGGAAGAGCUCAAAUUUUAAAUCUGCCUCGUUUCAAGGUCGAGUUGUAAUUUGAAGAAGCGUUUUCUUGUUCUCGCGGCCGGUAGAAGUUCCUUGGAACAGGGCAUCAUAGAGGGUGACAAUCCCGUCUGUGACCGGUCGUGGGAUCAUCUGCGAUACGCUUUCAAAGAGUCGAGUUGUUUGGGAUUGCAGCUCCAAACGGGUGGUAAACAUCACCUAAGGCUAAAUAUUGGCGAGAGACCGAUAGCGAACAAGUACCGUGAGGGAAAGAUGAAAAGAACUUUGAAAAGAGAGUAAAUAGUACGUGAAAUUGUUGAAAGGGAAACGAUUGAAG
rnacentral:rRNA from 1 species